UCUGGGCUGUGGCGGUGGCAGCGGGCAGCGGAGGUGCCGCUGCGCUUCGGGCGUGCCGGCAGCGCUGGCAGGGCUGUCUGUCCCGCAGGGACCGGGGCCAGGAGGAGCUGUGACCCACAGAACUGGCGCCUCCAAGCCCUGGUCGGGAUCCGUGGGCUGGGCAGCAGCACCCCGGGGCAGCCCCACAACAGACGGGGCUCCAGAAGGUGUGAAGGGUAGUUGCGUGAUGUGAGCCCUCCGUGCUCAUCCCUCACCUUCCAGGGCUCCCAGCUGGGUUCUGGCCCUGGCCCCGGCCUGGCCUGGAGGGAAAAGUCCCUUCCUGCUGCCACAGUGGGCGAGCAGGCUGCUGACUGCUGCAGGGGAGAAAAGGCUGAAGCUGCCAGAAAAAAACUGUAAGGAGUAUGUUGCCAGGGCAACAGAGUGUAAGCAGGAGCACAGCACCUUGCAGAUCACAAAGGCAAAGCUGCAGAAAGACAUUUCAGCGAGUUUCUCUCUCCCCUUUGCAAUGGCCAGGCUGAAGAAGGAAGUAUGUGGAAAUCAAUCCUUGCAGGCCACAGAAUGGGAGGUGGGGGAAGUGAAAUGAAGUACAAAAGCCCUGGGUCAUCUCACUUCGGCUGAGGAAUUCCAGGAAAUCAGGAACAAAGGCUGACACCCGAGCUCAGCUGUGCUCUGGCACUGCAUGUGACAAGUCUCGCUGGCACCUGGAAACAGCAGAAUGUGUGGGUUUGGUGGGCUGAGAGACUCAGGAAAAGGACACGGUGAUGGGGGUUUGCAGCCUCAGCUGAGAAUGUCACAGUUUUGUAGUGUGGAUACAGGCUCACAGAUGUUACUGACAUGGAACUUUGCUUUAGGAGAUUUAUGUGUUCUGCAUUUUGAGAAAGAAUUACACGAAGUAAUAGUUAACAAUAUAUGUAAAAUAAUACAUUUAAUGAAUAUAAAAAUAGUAUUUAGCCAAGCAGUAUUCUCCAUACAGGAUUACAUUGUGGCAAACACUACUGGUUUUCUCUGAGUCAGCAUCCCCCAGUCACUGUGAAUGUGAGAUAUUCCUUGCACCAGGGUUUUAGAGAGCAGUAAAAACUGCCCUGAAGCACAUUGCAGAAAUGUCUAGAAGCCACCUCCAGGAGUGGGAGGUGGCUCUGCAGAGAGCAGACGGGGACAGUUGCGUGCAAGAGAGGGGAAAGGUUUGUUUGGAGGCUUGGGCAGGAGGCCCAUAACUCACGGCGUCCCUGUGUCACCAGCUCCGGAAUGUUCCCAGGCAUGUGGAAGCAUUAACAGUAACGCAGUGCUUGGAGUCUCACUGCCACUAAUGACUAAUCACGGCACAGACCAAAACUGCAGUUCUGAAGCCCAGUUAAAAUUCUGUUGUUUUCUCAAAAACCAGAUGAGCAUUUGGACCUGAGACAUCCAAAUUCAGGGCGUGAACUGUUCCUGGCUGCAGGAACAAGAGUGUAUGCUUCUGUGCACAGAGAGGUGAGCAAUUAAUGCUGUAUUGAUGUGUUCAGUUUAUUAAUAUUUGUUUAUAAACCAAGUCUAAGGACACUGUACCCUCACUAGCAACUUCAGCUUGGUUUUUAUAAUACUUGCACUGCUAAUCCUAAACAGUAGAGGAUCAGAUAAUCCUAUGGUAUAAAAAUUACUCAAGAUAAGUUUCUGCAAUAGAAUAAUGUACAUUUAAUACAUACAAUAUAGAAAGCAAUAAAAUGCCUUUUAUAUAAUGUUAUUUAUGCAAGUAUAUAGAAUUACUCAUCUGAAUGUGUAUGUAGAUUGAGGAGUUUAGGAACAAAGACAAUUCUUUAAUGUUGUCAUAAAAAGGAAAAAUAAAACCUCUUUUUUCUGAGUAAACAUAUCCCAGGUUUCACCUUCCUGCUAUUAAAUUAAUUAAUCGCAAUGAUGUAACAACUACAUAAGGUUUUAUCUGAUUAGAAAAUUCAGCAGUGCCUGAUGCUGAAUUGUCCUAUUGUUCCUAAUCUGGAGAUAUGCAGGAUUUUCUACAGCCAUUGUAAUACUUGUCCCCUUUUUUUUUUUUCUCAUGGACAGGUCUGAUUACUAUUACCUAGGCUAUAUUUCCUUUAGGAGGAAAAAGGCUUUUCAUAAAGCAUAAAAAGCUUAAUUGUGUACAAAACUAUUUUUACUGGCUAUAAAAGCAUAUGAGCAUCCUUCAAGUUGUGCUCCUAAAGCUUUUUUGUGGCAUGUGGGGUCAGGAGAGGGAAUGAACAGAAAAGUUUGAAUGCAAGAUUCCAAUGCAGUUUGUCUUUUUUUCCCACAAACUUGGAAUCUUCAUGUUAGAAUUUGAAAUUUUUUAAAUAUAAAAAUAAUAUUUCUUUGAGUUCUCAUAUACAACAAAUAUUUGGAAAUUGAUUUAUUCAGAAAAGGCUCUUUUAUUUCUCUGGGUGUAUCUAGAGAACCUAUGGAGUAAAUCAGUUCUCUGCUGCUACCUUUAUGUUGACAGAAAAGCCAGGAAUGAGUGAGCAGCCUGUUGCUUUGACAGUGUUAGAGGAAAGAUCUCCCCUUUCCUGUGUCCUCAGAGAGCUGGUAACAAGGUCACACUGAUCUGAGGAAAGCCAAGUAACUUCUGGAAAUCCCAAAUCGGGUCAACAAUACAAGAUCUGUCCACCAUUCAGAUUUAAAUGAAGUCACAUUCCACACCACUUUCACUGAUGUUUAAGACUUUUUUUAUUAUUAUUUGGUAUUGGCUGGUUUCUGUGAAAUCCAUCAGCUCUGCUCCUAUAGGCUCUAGCCAAGGAAAUCUAGACAGUUUUUGUCAUCUCUGCAGCAUUCAUUUCAUAAAAAUGCUGCACAUUGAUUCAGUUAAAAUAUGUAGGUAGAAGAUCUCCUAAAAGCAAUUUUCCAUGGAGCCUGCAGGAAGGCAGCUGACUGCAACCAGACUGGGCCACACAAAAAGAAAGGUAGAACAAGGUGAGUUGCAGACUGCCAGAUACUGGACAAUAUUUCUGUAUUUUUGGGAGACUACAUUUUUAGCUCCUUAUAGCCAGUGCUGGAUGAGAGACUGUUUGCUGGAGGUCCCGCUACAAUUUUUAGAUCUCUUUUUUCUAUUUUAAUAAUAAUAACCUCUAAAAUAUAGAAAAUUAAAAGGAUUUUUAUUGGUUCUUUGUAAGACUCGAUGGGGAAGCCCAAAGUUGAAACAAGGUGAAAGAACCUGUACUUGCUGCAGGUGGAAGCAGGUUUAUUGCCAUCAUUAUAUUGAAAAGGUUUGUCUUUGUACAGAUUUUCCUAUUUUCCUUAGGAAAGAUGGGAUAAAAUUUUGGUGAGAAAUUGAAUCCCAGCAGCUUAAAUACCCACGUAUUUCUAGCACAAAAUCUGGGCAAUUUGCUUUCCUUUUCCUGCUGGCUUGUAUCCUGCUGCCUUUUGAAAUGGAAACUCUUGUGACCCUCUAACCCUCUUGUUACUCAGAAUAAAACUCUUUUAAUUGUGUUUUGGAGGAGCAUGCAAGGAGCUCCCACACCACUAAUCAGCUUUGCUGGUUUGGGUCUGUAUCUCCAGGACUCAUGUCAGCAGAAUAGCUUGAUAUUAUUGCUGCUCGGCAUCACUGAUUUAAUGCUGAAGAACUUUAAAGGUGCAGGUCCCCAUUUCUGUCUGUGUGUUCCUACAGAGUGAGAGCAGCUCUCUGGCAGUACCUGGGAUCCUGCAGGACUUGGGCAGGCCCUGCUGCUCUUUGGGGUGCCUAAAAGGUGUCAGAAAAGGUGACUGCCUGCUGGGCAGGGCUGCUUGUGGGCACAGCAUUAACACUGAGACAGUUUUGGAAGGGACCUUACCUGUUUGUUUGCAAUGUCUCAUGUGGAAAUGCAGGUCAGCUUUAGUGCCUCUUCACACAAUUAAAAACAGAAAACCCCAAGACUCUUCUAGCUAGAGUCUGUGCUUUGUACUGGCCAGAAGCAGGUCUGGAUGGAUUUAAAUCAGACCUGUCUUAAGCUAUUUGAAAUCACCUGCAGCUUUGGUUUGAAGGAUGAAACUGCUGCCUUCCAGUGCUAGAACUUCAGCCCUGGAUGGUACCUCCAUCCAGGUGGAAGUUUGUCAGUAUAAAAUCCUGCCCUGCUGUAGCUCCCCCUUGGGCAGACUCUCACCCAUUUUAGGGCUGUUCCUUACAUCACUUGCCUUCUCACCAUACUCAGAAAACAUAAAGACUGCUUUAGCUUUUCACAUUUCAGUAUAACUGUGUUUAGCACCGAGGUUUGCCCCAGCCGCUGCCCAUUUGCUGACGUUUGUUCAUAGCUCUGCUAACGUGCCUCUGUUUGGCCUUCAGCAUUCCAGGAGUAGGAAGGCCACUUAACCCGAGUCCUAGCUCUCUGAUCCUGUUUGAUCAGGAACAGUGAUGCAGGAGUUACCCUUGAACAAAUGACUCUGCUGAGAACACUCCCAAUUGCCCUGUAAUAAACCUGCUGUCCUCCCUGAAAGCCAGGAUGAGGAUAGAGAGGGUAACAGUGAUUGAAAGGUCAACAAGUGUGAGCACUGACAGAAUGAAAGAAACAAAUUAUAAUGCUGAGGCCAUGAUGCUGAGAGCGCCCUGUGUCUAAAUUCUGGCGUGGUUGGAGGCUGGGUGUGUCAGCACGAGUGCCACCCUGUCCUGGUCCCACAGGAGAGAAUGCAGGAUCUCAGGAUCUCUCCCUUUGUCCUCUCUGUGGCUGCGUGCUCACAGGCUUAACUUCAGUGCUGGAGAAGAUCACUCAUGGAAAGAGAUCAGAAGUCACCAAGUGCCACAGUGCUAGGCUCCCUGUGUGAGAAGGAGCUCUGUGCUGAGUCUUCCAGCCUCCAGCCUCCCCGUCUGGGCCAAACACACCUGGGCAGAUCCUGUCAGUCCUGGUGGGAAGUGUUCACCUGGCUAUGCUGGGCUUGAGUCAGAAUUUGUCUCUUAAUAAGACGCAAGGAGAAACUUUUCAGUGUGUUCUCAUUAAGGUAGGAAAAUGGAAACAUAUUACAACUGAUAUGUUCUGUCAUCUUGUCCAUUUGUUCCAAAAGGGACAGUCCUGGUGAGGUGGCUCUGGGCCUCGCCCCACUGACACAAAGCUGGGAGAAGCUAGCCAAGAAGCCAGUUCUACAAGUCCUGUUUGAUUUGUUUUAAUGAAAACUUUUAUUUGCUGGGGUAAAAAUAAGUUUUAAGGAGCUUUUUUCAUCCUACAAUUCUGCUGACCCUAUGCUCUUUUGUGUGUUUGUCUUUUGGAUUUGAAACCAUUCAAAUUAUGAUACUUUGAGUUCUGGGUUGUUUGGUUUUUUUUCUGUUGUAAACCAGUAAAGCCAUGUGUUCAUAC
rnacentral:lncRNA from 1 species